UGGGCAACCUGCCCUCAGCUCUGGGAUAACUCCGGGAAACCGGGGCUAAUACCGGAUACGACCUUCCCUCGCAUGGGGGUUGGUGGAAAGUUCUUCGGCUGAGGAUGGGCCCGCGGCCUAUCAGCUUGUUGGUGGGGUGAUGGCCUACCAAGGCGACGACGGGUAGCCGGCCUGAGAGGGCGACCGGCCACACUGGAACUGAGACACGGUCCAGACUCCUACGGGAGCA
rnacentral:rRNA from 1 species